rnacentral:lncRNA from 1 species
UUGGAGCUUCCGCAUCCAUUGUCUGGUUCCUCAGCAGCACUGAGAUGAAGAUACCGAUCCUAGGACAGAUCAACUCAGAAUGUCAAAGAUAAUGAUGUCGGAACACCAAUUUAGGGUUUGCUUAAGGACCCAGGUUACUCCAAGCAUUUGGCCUCAUAUAUUUGACCACUAGUGCUAACAAAAGUCAUUAGUGCAGUGGUAACUAGUCCCUUGUAUUUACCAUCCGAGAUUCUAGGGUGGAUGUCAGCUAUGGCCAUGGUGUCCAGGCUUUUACAUAAUAAGCAAGAUGUCAUCAGGCUUUCGGACAAACCUGGUCCUGAUGAUUCAUGGUCUACAUCAUCUAGCCAAGUCUUAGAUUUUGGUACCAAGGUAAAGUACCCUCCUGUGAAACUCACUUUCCUGCUCUGAAUUGAGUUUUCUCCCUUAUUUACUCUGAAAAUUUAAGAGGAGCCUGUGUAUCAUCAUUUUAUGUGUGUCAUGGAAAGUUAGCAAGAACAAACCACUUUACAGAUACAUGACGCGUUGAAUGUCUUGUUUUGUUUUGUUGUACUUUGGUAAAUCCUACAGGUGGAGGCUGAUAAAAGAAUGGGCUGGAAAACAUAUAAUGACCGUCAUAUUAUGUUGGGAAAAGCUUUCCCAUCAUGGAGGCAAUAUGACAUUUGCUUAAGGAUAAGGAUUCUUACUGUGAUAGUAACAUGACUGAUAAUACUCAGGCCUAAAUGAAACCUGAUUGGGUCCAAGUAUCUAUUGUAGGGUGCCCCCCCCCCCGGCCCCGGGCAAGUUUUAUUUUGGUGACAUACAGGAUUUCCUUUGGCUCUAUCCUUUGUUCUACAUUUAGACGAAAAUAAUAUUAUAUAUAUAUAUAUAUAUAUA